rnacentral:rRNA from 1 species
GUAUGUGAUCGUCUCUCGCAUAUCAAUAAGCGGAGGAAAAGAAACUAACAAGGAUUCCCCUAGUAACGGCGAGUGAAGCGGGAAGAGCUCAAAUUUGAAAUCUUAAAGGGUUUCCCUUUACGAAUUGUAGUUUAAAGAAGUGUUUUCUGUUGAGGUUUUGGUAAAAGUUCUUUGGAAUAGGACAUCAUAGAGGGUGAGAAUCCCGUAUUUGACCUUUACUUUCAACUUUGUGAUACACUUUCAAAGAGUCGGAUUGUUUGGGAAUGCAGUCCAAAAUGGGUGGUAAAUUUCAUCUAAAGCUAAAUAUUGGCGAGAGACCGAUAGCGAACAAGUACCGUGAGGGAAAGAUGAAAAGAACUUUGAAAAGAGAGUUAAACAGCACGUGAAAUUGUCAAAAGGGAAGCGUUUGACACCAGUGUUGUUUUUCUGAAAAUCAAUUAAAGAACUGUUUAUGCUAAGUUGUUUAGACUUUAUCAGCUAACUGUUUAGUUUUGAGCUUUUCUUUAAUGCACUUUUCAGUUAACAAGUCAACAUCAAUUUCUUUUGCUGUAAAAAAGCUUGAGGAAGGUGGCUUGAGAUUCGUCUUAAGUGUUUAUAGCCUCUUGCCUAUGCAGUCGGAGAGAUUGAGGUCUGCAGCGUAGAUCCCUCGGGGCUAAAUGCAUUUGUGCUAAGUUAUAGCAUUUUAUAGACAACUUGUUGACUAUGAUUUGUCUUGUAGCUUACUCGCUUAUGUUAUUUUACCUACGCUUAGGAUGUUGAUCUACAGAGCGAGAGU